rnacentral:lncRNA from 1 species
UGAUAGACAUCAACCUAGCUCAUCUAGAGGUAAAGUGCAAAUGACGGAGUACUUGAAAUUGGAUGCUCCUAAAUAUAACACGGGAGAUGAUCCAUUUGAAUACCUCAGAUCAGUUAGGAUGAUAACGAGUGAAUUGGGAGCUGAUGAUAGUAGGGCCAUUGAGAUGGCAGGGUUUACACUUAAAUGCAAGAAAGCCAGAG